CCAAUUUCCUAAGACAAAGUUGACUUACCAGGGGCAUGUUCAAAACUUCACAGGACUGUCGAGGUUCCAAAUGGACACUAAUCCAUUAGCCUGAGUCCCCCAAGGAAGAGGAUGUGGAACAGAGCCACCGUUGACCUGCUGUGGACAUGUGGUGUGUGAGAUAUAAACCUUCGCUGUGGCUCUUUGGAAUCAGGAGGAGCUGGCUGCUUCAGCUGAAUCGCUGAAAAUGAAACUUUUAACAGACAAUAAUGAUAAUGAAGAUGAUAAUAUUAAUAUCCACUAUCUUCUAUUCACCAGGCCCUGUCCGGGUUUCUCACCAUCAUUGCCCUACCGAGAAACCCAGGGACAUACCAGGAACUGCUUCCACACAAGUGUUUUGCCAGGGACGGUUUUAUUCCAGGAACCACUCAGCUGACCCGGAAAGACAUCCUCUACAGACUACAAUCUUCAAAAGCAAAGUGCAUUAUUACCAAUGAAGUUUUAGCCCCAGCAGUAGAUGCUGUUGCAUCUAAAUGUGAAAAUUUUCUCUCCAAGCUAAUUGUGUCUCAGAACCCCAGAGAGGGGUGGGGGAACCUCAAGGAGAUGAUCAAGUGAGUAGUCAUAACUGUUGCAGAACAGCUUCCCCAAAAGAAAGGCAAAUUGAAAAGUUACUCAACCCACAAGUGAUCAGGAAAAUGAAAAUUAAAACAAUAGACAAAGGGAA